CCCCUCGGCUAAUGAAGCACCAACUUGACUUACCAUAGAUCUUUAGCUCUUUGAUGGUUAAAUCAAAGUAGGGCUAGAGCACUGGGCUUUGAUACAACUUGUUGCCUAGCUAUGCAACCCAAGAGGGGGGGCGGUAAAUUGGGUUUUUAAAAAUUUAAUGUUAAUUUAGAACUAUGAGAAUUAAAUAACAAUGAGCAGGAUAUAUAUAGAGAGUGAUUUAAGCAAGGUGUAGAAAUUAGAUGCAAGAGUACAAGAAGAAAAAGAAAAUAAGAUAGAGAACAAGCAAAUACACCAUAAACAACCAAGAUUUAUAGUGGUUCGGUGCCAACCUUGCACCUACAUC
rnacentral:lncRNA from 1 species